GACGGAGGAUGCAAGCGUUAUCCGGAAUUAUUGGGCGUAAAGGGUGCGUAGGUGGUCAGACAAGUCCCAUGUCAAAGCAUGGUGCUUAACGCCAUAAAGGCGUGGGAAACUGUGUGACUAGAGUACAGCAGGGGCAGGAGGAAUUCCCGGUGUAGCGGUGAAAUGCGUAGAUAUCGGGAAGAACACCAGUAGCGCAAGCGUUCUGCUGGGCUGUAACUGACACUGAGGCACGAAAGCUAGGGGAGCGAAAGGG
rnacentral:rRNA from 1 species